GUCGAGCUUAGUAACAUGAGUUUGUUAUCCGAGUGGAGAUACCAAGAUGAUGGAGCAAUUGUGCCGAUGUGUUUGGCCAAUUCUGGUUCUGAUACCUAAUCAGACCAAAGCAGAUUUCACCAUUUUU
rnacentral:SRP_RNA from 1 species